AUUAGAUGAGCCUAUAUUAGAUUAGCUAGUUGGUGGAGUAAUAGCCUACCAAGGCAAUGAUCUAUAGCUGAUCUGAGAGGAUGAUCAGCCACACUGGAACUGAGAUACGGUCCAGACUCCUACGGGAGGCAGCAGUGGGGAAUAUUGGACAAUGGGCGAAAGCCUGAUCCAGCCAUGCCGCAUGAGUGAAGAAGGCCUUUGGGUUGUAAAGCUCUUUUAGUGAGGAAGAUAAUGACGGUACUCACAGAAGAAGUCCUGGCUAACUCCGUGCCAGCAGCCGCGGUAAUACGGAGAGGGCUAGCGUUAUUCGGAAUUAUUGGGCGUAAAGGGCGCGUAGGCUGAUUAAUAAGUUAAAAGUGAAAUCCCGAGGCUUAACCUUGGAAUUGCUUUUAAAACUAUUAAUCUAGAGAUUGAAAGAGGAUAGAGGAAUUCCUGAUGUAGAGGUAAAAUUCGUAAAUAUUAGGAGGAACACCAGUGGCGAAGGCGUCUAUCUGGUUCAAAUCUGACGCUGAAGCGCGAAGGCGUGGGGAGCAAACAGGAUUAGAUACCCUGGUAGUCCACGCUAUAAACGAUGAAUGUUAAAUAUGGGAAG
rnacentral:rRNA from 1 species